GACACAUUACUCUGUUCACAAAUUAUACAAGAGUAUACACAUGUACCUAGUGCAUCUUUUCUUGUACGCUUUAAAUAUCUUUGGAAUAUAUGGAUAUUCCAGCGGAAUGGUGGUCUGGAUGAUGGCGACGGAGGUGGUAGUGGUGGUAGCAGUGGGGUGGUGAUGAGAAAUUAUGGUUGUACUAUGUUUGUGUGUCCUGAAUACAAAGGCAAAACAAUCAUUCUUGAAAUGAAAUUUAACCAAACUUGUGACCAAAUAAGCACCAAUAGAGUCUAAUUUUAAGCUACAUGUUACUCCAAAUCCAUUCUCCAACUUAAAGGAGAUGAAUUUUGAUAGAAAUUAUGGUUGUAGUAUGUUUGUGUGUUCACUAUAUAUUAUAAAAUCAGGAUUCUGCUACACAUUUAGUGGAUAUUUGUUUGGUUUCUAACUAUGCAAGGCGUUUGAUUAACAACCAAUAAGCCUCGGACAUACCAAAAGAAUACUUAAUUAGAGUGUCAUAAGCCAAAGUUCCUAAAAUUUGUAGUUGUCUUCUCCAUGCUUCAAAAAACUACCUAAAGAGUUUAGCUUUACCACAUCUAUCUUAAAAAGAAAUUUAAGGACCAAUGUUUAGACUUGUGAUUUCAAACCUCAUUCUUCCAGGAACCCAAAUCCAUUGCCAUAUCAAACAAGCUGUUAGUGACAUGGCAUUGGAAUUCAAGAAAAGAAGCCCCCUUGGUUUUCUGCUUCUGAAAAAUAAAAGUUCAUUGGAUCUCUGGAAGUCAAAGGAAUUCCCCUUCAACUAGAAAACUGAAAAAAAUGUUUAAUCUUAGUGAAACUCCUAGUGAUCUUUUAAAUUAUAUAUUAAGUAAUACACAAAGCCAUGCGCUUAAAGCAUUUCACAAUGCUUCGAUAAUUUAAUAUUACUACGCUACACAUCCUUAUUUCACACAUGCAGUCGAUGAUCAGAAACAAUAACAAAGUAUUGUUUCACUAAAAUUCUCUCAAUGAAGGCAAAUUUCAAUAUUUCAGAUUAGGUAAUAACAGAUACAUUUGCACAAAAAACUCAGUAUGAAACAUAUAGAACCAUUCGCUAAAACCACUUGUGUAGCUUAAAAGCAUCUUUCUAUUACAACUACUAGAACUUCCUCAAAAAAAUCCAAAUAACAAUUUAAUCAAAACUUACUUUGUUUUGCAUGGGGAAAUUGAUGAAAUUGUGAUCGAUCGGUAUAAAAGUAUCUUUCUAUUACAACUACUAUAACUUCCACAAAUUUUCAUGUCUUCCUGCAAAAAUGUGUGUCUUCAAGAAGUGCGUUUGUAAAACCUAAAACCGAUCGGCACAAAUAUGUCAUUCUGUUCGGUAAUACCUAAAACGGUUCUACACAAAACAUCAAAAUAAUCGUCGUAAAAUAGGUAAUCGGGAAUUGUAGACACAGAAUGAUGAAAAAACCUUAUCUGUUGAAGGAAUAGAACAUGUGAAGUGUGAGCUUGGAAUCCGUAGCCGGAUUUGAAACCUCGAUCCAGUAAACCCACAGUACUAUUUUCACAUCCAACCCCGAUUUUCCCCUUCUGCCAAAACAACACUCAGUUUUUCCAGCGUUUCAUCAGAACCAAACAUUUCCCAGAAAUAUUCCGGCAAAGUUAUGAAGGAGGGUACCGAAGAAGACCGGUUCGUCUGUGGCCGGGGCGUUAGGCAGGACGCGAAGAACCAAAGGAGUGUCGAUGUAGGAAAGAAGAUGCCGAAUCACCGGUGAGAUGGGGGAGGGGUAAAUCGGUAAUAAUAGAAAGUAUGAUAAAAUUAU
rnacentral:lncRNA from 1 species